rnacentral:pre_miRNA from 1 species
AAAGAAACCAUACAAAUAUCAAUGCUUUGCCAAUUCGCAAUGACUCCGUCAUUGCGAAUUGGCAAAGCAUUGAUAUUUGUAUGGUUUCUUU